AGCCGCGGUAAUUCCAGCUCCAAUAGCGUAUAUUAAAGUUGUUGCAGUUAAAAAGCUCGUAGUUGAAUUUCGGGGUCAGUAGGUCGGUCGUGCCACUGGUAUGAACUGGUUUUACUGAUUCCUCCCUCUUGAAGAACUGUAAUGCCAUUAAUUUGGUGUUGCAGGGAAUCAGGACUGUUACUUUGAAAAAAUUAGAGUGUUUAAAGCAGGCUUUAGCUUGAAUACAUUAGCAUGGAAUAAUGAAAUAGGACGUUUGAUCCUAUUUUGUUGGUUUCUAGGAUUGACGUAAUGAUUAAUAGGGAUAGUUGGGGGCAUUAGUAUUCAAUUGUCAGAGGUGAAAUUCUUGGAUUUAUUGAAGACUAACUACUGCGAAAGCAUUUGCCAAGGAUGUUUUCAUUAAUCAAGAACGAAAGUUAGGGGAUCGAAGACGAUCAGAUACCGUCGUAGUCUUAACCAUAAACUAUGCCGACUAGGGAUCGGAUGAUGUUAAUUUUUUAAUGACUCA
rnacentral:rRNA from 1 species